rnacentral:lncRNA from 1 species
AACCCUGUCUCGAAAAACAAAAAGAAAAAGAAAAAGAAAAAGAAAAAAAAAGAAGAAGAAUUUCCAGAAGAUUCGUGUUUUAGAUCACUCUUCAUACAACAAUGCGUAGUUUAUCUGGGUCCCCUACGCUGGCAUGGACAAGCCUCGUGCUGUAGGAAUACCCCAGACCGGCUUUAGGCAGAGGUCAGAUGCCUCAGAGCGCCACUUCACUGGCAAACCCACGGCUUCCGCGUAUUUCCCAGCAACCUCGGGCCAGGCUUCUGUGAGGACGGUGACGUUUGCGUGGCAAUCCUAUAAGGAGCCUGCAGUUUAUUGAGUGAGAAGGAAGGGAUGGAAGCACACCAAGUAUCACACAGAAUCACAUACCCUACAUGACCUUUCUCAACAUGAAAAAUUUGCCAUGGACACAAAUGAAGAAUUGUUCUCUAGGCCUUCUGUCCCUUCUUGUGUCAUUAAGAAAUUCAAGCUCGGGCUGGUGAGAUGGCUCAGUGGGUUAGAGCACCCGACUGCUC